rnacentral:tRNA from 2 species
GUCCGGGUGGCGGAAUAGGCAGACGCGCUAGCUUGAGGUGCUAGUGCCCUCACGGGCAUGGGGGUUCAAGUCCCCCCUCGGACACCA